GAGUAACACGUAUUCAACCUUCCGAUAACUCGGGGAUAGCCUUUCGAAAGAAAGAUUAAUACUCGAUAGUAUAUUUUCUUCGCAUGUUGAAAAUAUUAAAGAAUUUCGGUUAUCGAUGGGAAUGCGUUCCAUUAGGCAGUUGGCGGGGUAACGGCCCACCAAACCUACGAUGGAUAGGGGUUCUGAGAGGAAGGUCCCCCACAUUGGAACUGAGACACGGUCCAAACUCCUACGGGAGGCAGCAGUGAGGAAUAUUGGUCAAUGGACGCAAGUCUGAACCAGCCAAGUAGCGUGAAGGAUGACUGCCCUAUGGGUUGUAAACUUCUUUUAUAUGGGAAUAAAGUGCGCCACGUGUGGUGUUUUGUAUGUACCAUUAUGAAUAAGCAUCGGCUAACUCCGUGCCAGCAGCCGCGGUAAUACGGAGGAUGCGAGCGUUAUCCGGAUUUAUUGGGUUUAAAGGGAGCGUAGGUGGGCUGGUAAGUCAGCUGUGAAAGUUUGCGGCUCAACCGUAAAAUUGCAGUUGAUACUGUCAGUCUUGAGUACAGUAGAGGUUAGCGGAAUUCGUGGUGUAGCGGUGAAAUGCUUAGAUAUCACGAAGAACUCCAAUUGCGAAGGCAGCUGACUAGACUGUUACUGACACUGAUGCUCGAAAGUGUGGGUAUCAAACAGGAUUAGAUACCCUGGUAGUCCACACAGUAAACGAUGAAUACUCGCUGUUUGCGAUAUAC
rnacentral:rRNA from 1 species